rnacentral:rRNA from 1 species
CGAACGGGUGAGUAAUGCUUCGGAAUCUGCCCAAUGGUGGGGAAUAACCAGCCGGAAAGGUUGGCUAAUACCGCAUACGUCCUACGGGAGAAAGCAGGGGAUCGUAAGACCUUGCGCCAAUGGAGUGGAGCCGAAGUCGGAUUAGCUAGUUGGUAGGGUAACGGCCUACCAAGGCGACGAUCCGUAGCUGGUCUGAGAGGACGACCAGCCACACUGGGACUGAGACACGGCCCAG